ACGGCCCCGUUGACCACACAGAUCGGCCUUGAGGUGAAAGAAAUGGAAGCUGAAUCUUCUUGUAAAAAAGGCAUCAACACGGCAACACAAGAGCAACAAAUCGCAUCUGGCGUUUGCAAUGGUCUACACUUGAUUAUCUUUUAAGCUGUUACAUUUCGCGCAGACUUUUAUACCAUUCUUUUUUUAAGCUUAGAUGUAUAGUUUUAUUGUCAGUGUUCACAAGUUUGUAUCUAUUGCGAUUGUAUCUAUUGUUUUUAAAUUCGGUGUAACAUGCGAGUUUGUAAAUUCCAGAAUACGAAAUGAUGUAUAUGAA